rnacentral:tRNA from 1 species
GCGGCGAUAGUCCAGUGGCUAAGACAUGUGCUUGCCAUGCACAUAACCCGGGUUCAAAUCCCGGUCGCCGCA